AAGAUAAGAUUUAUAUUACAAUAAUUUUUGCUAUUUAUGUGGUUAACAUAACAACACAGUGAGGUUAACAACAACAACACAGGUCUAUCUUGAUGUGACUAUCUUAUUCAAUGUUUCUGGUUUUGAGGAAAGCAUUUUCCCAUCAUUUCAAACGUCUACCUUGUAUGAUGUGACUACCUUCUUAUUCAAUAUUUCUGGUUUCGAGAAAAGCAUUUGCCCGUCAUAUCAAACGGGGUGAAAUUUCCAUUGCUGAAACAAGUGCCAACUCAGCGGUUCCACACCUUCAGCAGAGGGGAUGAUAAAGAUGCGCACUUUCGAUCAUGUUACUGAGGACAGUGGAUAAAAUUGAUAUGGUGUUUUGUUACCAUGCUAUGGAGGGUAAUGGUGGAUGAGUGAGGGAUGACACUAACAGGACAAUAAGAAUCGCGUUCGAGAGAACUGAAAUGCAUUCUAAGCUAGUAUUUCAUCUUAGCCAAGUAUUCAAGUUUAUGAAACUACUGUCUGUAAGACAGGCAUUACGAUGUAAGGAAAUACAGUUGUAGCAAAUAAUAUUAUAUCUUUGAUAAAUAAAAUUAAUUUGAAUUUAUUCGAA